rnacentral:tRNA from 1 species
GGUAAAUUUAGUUUAAUGGUAAAAUGACGUUUUGUGGCAACGAUGAUCUGAGUUCGAUUCUCUGAUUUUACC